GGUUAAGUUAGAAAGGGCGCACGGUGGAUGCCUUGACACUAGGAGUCGAUGAAGGACGGGACUAACGCCGAUAUGCUUCGGGGAGCUGUAAGUAAGCUUUGAUCCGAAGAUUUCCGAAUGGGGAAACCCACCAUACGUAAUGGUAUGGUAUCCUUAUCUGAAUACAUAGGGUAAGGAAGACAGACCCAGGGAACUGAAACAUCUAAGGUACCA
rnacentral:rRNA from 1 species